rfam:Morus notabilis contig2499, whole genome shotgun sequence.
UUUAAAAAUAACAAUCAACUAAUAUUGUUCUUAACACGAUACAGAGAAGAUUAGCAUGGCCCCUGUGCAAAGAUACAUGCAUAAAUUGAGAAAUGGUUCAAAUUUGG